rnacentral:rRNA from 1 species
AUACGUAGGGGGCGAGCGUUGUCCGGAUUUACUGGGCGUAAAGGGUGAGUAGGCGGUUGCAUAUGUCAGAUGUAAAAGGCACAGGCUCAACUUGUGUUAGCAUUUGAAACUGUGCGACUUGAGUGCAGGAGAGGAGAAGGGAAUUCCUAGUGUAGCGGUGAAAUGCGUAGAUAUUAGGAGGAACACCAGUGGCGAAGGCGGCUUCCUGGUCUGUAACUGACACUGAGGCACGAAAGCGUGGGGAUC